CAGUAGCCACGGUAAUACGUAGGUGGCAAGCGUUGUCCGGAAUUAUUGGGCGUGAAGGGCUCGCAGGCGGUUUCUUAAGUCUGAUGUGAAAGCCCCCGGCUCAACCGGGGAGGGUCAUUGGAAACUGGGAAACUUGAGUGCAGAAGAGGAGAGUGGAAUUCCACGUGUAACGGUGAAAUGCGUAGAGAUGUGGAGGAACACCAGUGGCGAAGGCGACUCUCUGGUCUGUAACUGACGCUGAGGAGCGAAAGCGUGGGGAGCGAACAGGAUUAGAUACCCGCGUAGUCCCUGUCUCUUAUAC
rnacentral:rRNA from 1 species